GGCGGGUUGCCCGAGUGGCCAAAGGGAGCGGUCUGUAAAACCGUCGGCUCAGCCUACCCAGGUUCGAACCCUGGACCCGCCACCA
rnacentral:tRNA from 1 species